rnacentral:rRNA from 1 species
CAGUCGCCGCGGGAAUACAGAGGGUGCAAGCGUUGUUCGGAAUUAUUGGGCGUAAAGCGCGUGUAGGCGGCGUGACAAGUCGGGUGUGAAAGCCCUCAGCUCAACUGAGGAAGUGCGCCCGAAACUGUCGUGCUUGAGUGCCGGAGAGGGUGGCGGAAUUCCCCAAGUAGAGGUGAAAUUCGUAGAUAUGGGGAGGAACACCGGUGGCGAAGGCGGCCACCUGGACGGUAACUGACGCUGAGACGCGAAAGCGUGGGGAGCAAACAGGAUUAGAUACCCCCGUAGUCCCUGUCUCUUAUAC